CACUUAUCGAGAGAGGUGGAGGGGCUGGCCCUAUGAAACCCAGCAACCCAUAAGUUUUCAUUUAGACUUACAGGGUGCUAAUUCCUGCAACUAUUUAGUUGGAAGAUAAGGA
rnacentral:ncRNA from 2 species